CCUACGGGAGGCUGCAGGGAGGAAUAUUGGUCAAUGGGCGCGAGCCUGAACCAGCCAAGUAGCGUGAAGGAUGACUGCCCUAUGGGUUGUAAACUUCUUUUAUAGGGGAAUAAAGUGCAGUAUGUAUACUGCUUUGCAUGUACCUUAUGAAUAAGGAGCGGCUAACUCCGUGCCAGCAGCCGCGGUAAUACGGAGGAUCCGAGCGUUAUCCGGAUUUAUUGGGUGUCAAGGGAGAGUAGGCGGGUUGUUAAGUCAGUUGUGCAAGUUUGCGGCUCAACCGUAAAAUUGCAGUUGAUACGGGCAUCCUUGAGUACAGUAGAGGUAGGCGGAAUUCGUGGUGUCGCGGU
rnacentral:rRNA from 1 species